GGCCCGGCCGUACGCCAAAAUGGCGGCUCCCGCUCACUUCCGCUUUGCUCACUUCCGUCCGCGCGCCGGAUCUUCUUGGCUGACCGCGCCCGCGUUCCGAUUGGCCCCCGCGGCGUCCCGUCGCCGCGUCUCGCUGCGGGCCGGUAGGAGCGUCGCCGCUCGGGUCAGUCGGCGGCUGGACAGGGAAGAUGGACGCAGCUACUCUAACCUACGACACUCUCCGAUUUGCCGAAUUUGAAGAUUUCCCUGAGACCUCAGAGCCCGUUUGGAUUUUGGGUAGAAAAUACAGCAUUUUCACAGAGAAAGACGAGAUCUUGUCUGAUGUGGCAUCUAGACUUUGGUUUACAUACAGGAAAAACUUUCCAGCCAUUGGGGGAACGGGCCCUACCUCGGACACAGGCUGGGGCUGCAUGCUUCGGUGUGGACAGAUGAUCUUUGCCCAAGCCCUGGUAUGCCGGCACUUAGGCCGAGAUUGGAGGUGGACACAACAGAAGAGGCAGCCAGACAGCUACUUCAGCGUCCUCAACGCUUUCAUUGACAGGAAGGACAGUUACUACUCCAUUCACCAGAUAGCGCAAAUGGGAGUUGGUGAAGGCAAGUCUAUAGGCCAGUGGUACGGGCCAAACACCGUUGCCCAGGUCCUCAAGAAACUUGCCGUCUUCGACACGUGGAGUGCCUUGGCAGUUCACAUAGCAAUGGACAACACUGUGGUGAUGGAGGAAAUCAGAAGGUUGUGCAGGAGCAGCCUUCCAUGUGUAGGGGCUGCCGCAUUUCCUGCAGACUCGGAGUGGCACUGCAACGGAUUCCCUGCUGGCACCGAGGUCACCAACAGGCUGGCACCGUGGAGACCCCUGGUGCUUCUCAUCCCCCUGCGCCUGGGGCUCACAGAUAUCAACGAGGCCUAUGUGGAGACAUUGAAGCGCUGCUUCAUGAUGCCCCAGUCCUUGGGUGUCAUUGGAGGGAAGCCCAACAGUGCCCACUACUUUAUCGGCUAUGUGAGGAGCUCAUCUACCUGGACCCCCACACCACACAGCCAGCUGUGGAGCCCACUGACAGUUGCUUUAUCCCUGAUGAGAGCUUCCACUGCCAGCACCCACCAUGUCGGAUGAGCAUCGCAGAGCUUGACCCGUCCAUUGCUGUGGGGUUUUUCUGUAAGACUGAGGACGACUUCAAUGACUGGUGCCAGCAAGUCAAAAAGCUGUCACUGCUCGGAGGUGCCCUGCCCAUGUUUGAGCUGGUGGAGCAGCAGCCUUCCCAUCUGGCCUGCCCCGAUGUCCUGAACCUGUCCCUAGAUUCUUCUGAUGUAGAGCGACUGGAAAGAUUCUUUGACUCAGAAGAUGAAGACUUUGAAAUCCUGUCCCUUUGAAAUCCUGGAGUUGGGAGAUGGCACCCUUGAGAGCCCAGCCCUGCCUUGGGUGCUCAGUGCCACUGCAUUUCAUCCAUCCAGCCUGCCCGCCUGCUGAGUGCCGCGCAUAUGCGCCGCCUCCGCCCAGAGGGCCACCCCACUCUCCUCGUGGACUGAGGCCUGCGCUGCCCUGGAGGCCUUAAUUGCUUGGAGUCAGACUGCCUAGCCCAGAGCGCUUAUCAGGGCCUGUGCAUCCACUUGAGGAACCAUCUGUCAGGAGCUUCCAGAGAGUUCUCUCGACACUGCCAGCCCUGUGUUAGUGCAUCGACUUCGGUCCCACUUCCUCCUGGUGCCAGUUCUGUGGUUUGUUUGGAAUUAAAUUCCUGUUUGAAGUUGUUCAAGAGACAUGAGUUUAUGGGGCACUUCCCAAGUUACAGUCUCAGAAGACCUGCAGGUUGGCCUGUGAGGAGUGAUGGGCACUGUGGCCCCAUGCUUGCAGACCAGGCUACUUAUGUGUGCAGGCGAGCUCACAGCUGUGCCCCCUCUGCCCAGUAUGGUUUACUAAGGGCUACCUCAGUGGGAGAUCAGGUUGAAGGAAUUAUAACAAGGUUUCUCCUUGUGUUGGGGAGGAAGUAUUCAAGGGUGGGGCAUGUGGGAAACCCAAAGAUGUCAACGUGCACAGGACAGUGUGGAUAACCUGGGCCAAAGGGCAGCUGAUGUGCCCCAGGGCACUUCAGGAAUGACCGUCCUCAGAGGUCCCCACCAGGACACAGCUUUCUAUCUCCUUUAAAUGGUUGCGGCAUUCUGAGGCGUACCUUAUUCUGCUGCUUGCUUGUCACACCAGCUCCCCCAGCGGUGGGCCGGGGGGUGAAGCCCUCUGCCUCUGACACUUGGGCUCGAGGCUGAGUGGAGCACGCUGCCACCCAGGAGCUUUCCUUUGUGUCCUUGCCUUGCGCAGAACUGCCCUCCUGCAUCAUUGGGGUUUUAGAUGAUUUGGGGCCAAAAGGAGAAACCACUUCAGCUUUGUGGUGUGUGACAGGCAGAUGGAGCAGGGCUGCAUCAGCUGGUGACAUUUCCAGACCCUCCUCAACACUAAUUCAGCACCUGCUGCCUUUUAACCCUGCUGUUCUGGGUCCCCAGAGUGCACUGCUGCCAUGGUGGUCUGCUGUCUGUCCUGGAAAAGUGGCUUUACUCCUGCUAGAAAGUGUAAAGAGGGUGUGCGGUGCUUGGGCUGUGGCAGGCCGCAGGCCUUUCUUAUAAGCACUUGCGGGUGUCAGCAGAAUCUGCUGUUGCUGCUUUUGCAGGUGGGGCCCUGAGCUCCCUCUGGACAUACACUGCACACUCGCACUGACGGCCCAUUGAGCUAGCAAAGGAUACCCCAGCCCCUCAAAUGUUGACAUAAUUUAUUUCCUUUCUCUCUUCACCUCCUCUCUCCCUCCCUCCCUCCUUUAUCCUUUCUCCCUUAGAUACAGGUGGGGUGGGAAGGAGGGAAGGCUGGAACAAUUUCCAUUCCUUUUGGGCUUCGCAUCUUUCUGAGUCAACAAAUGCACCACUGUGAUGGGAGCUGAGGGUCUUGCUACAGUGGUUGUGGGCGGAACACCUUGACCAAAGGGGAGCUUGUCUUGUGUGUUUUGAAAGGCUUACUUGAGAGAAUGUUGUUCAUUCUUAGUAGUAUAGUUUGCAGUUCUUAAUGGCAAAUAAUAACAAUUUCAAUAGAAAACAAA